rnacentral:rRNA from 1 species
UGGGGAAUCUUGGACAAUGGGCGCAAGCCUGAUCCAGCCAUGCCGCGUGAGUGAUGAAGGCCUUAGGGUUGUAAAGCUCUUUUGGCGGGGACGAUAAUGACGGUACCCGGAGAAUAAGUCCCGGCUAACUUCGUGCCAGCAGCCGCGGUAAUACGAAGGGGACUAGCGUUGUUCGGAAUCACUGGGCGUAAAGCGCACGUAGGCGGAUUUGUAAGUCAGGGGUGAAAUCCCGGGGCUCAACCUCGGAACUGCCUUUGAUACUGCGGAUCUCGAGUCCGAUAGAGGUGAGUGGAAUUCCGAGUGUAGAGGUGAAAUUCGUAGAUAUUAGGAAGAACACCAGUGGCGAAGGCGGCCAACUGGCUCGAUACUGACGCUGAGGUGCGAAAGCGUGGGGAGCAAACAGGAUUAGAUACCCCAGUAGUCCCUGAGCGGGCUGGCAAGGCGCAU